rnacentral:rRNA from 1 species
ACGAACGCUGGCGGCGUGCUUAACACAUGCAAGUCGAGCGGUAAGGCCCUUUCGGGGGUACACGAGCGGCGAACGGGUGAGUAACACGUGGGUGACCUGCCCUCAGCUCUGGGAUAAGCCUGGGAAACCGGGUCUAAUACCGGAUAUGACUCCAUGACGCAUGUUGUGGGGUGGAAAGCCUUGUGCGGCUGAGGAUGGGCCCGCGGCCUAUCAGCUUGUUGGUGGGGU